GGAAUAUUGCACAAUGGGGGAAACCCUGAUGCAGCCAUGCCGCGUGUGUGAAGAAGGCCUUCGGGUUGUAAAGCACUUUCAGUAGGGAGGAAAGGGUGUAACUUAAUACGUUAUAUCUGUGACGUUACCUACAGAAGAAGGACCGGCUAACUCCGUGCCAGCAGCCGCGGUAAUACGGAGGGUCCGAGCGUUAAUCGGAAUUACUGGGCGUAAAGCGUGCGCAGGCGGUUUGUUAAGCGAGAUGUGAAAGCCCUGGGCUCAACCUAGGAAUAGCAUUUCGAACUGGCGAACUAGAGUCUUGUAGAGGGGGGUAGAAUUCCAGGUGUAGCGGUGAAAUGCGUAGAGAUCUGGAGGAAUACCGGUGGCGAAGGCGGCCCCCUGGACAAAGACUGACGCUCAUGCACGAAAGCGUGGGGAGCAAACAGGAUUAGAUACCCGAG
rnacentral:rRNA from 1 species